GGUUCGAUUAUGGCUCAGAUUGAACGCUGGCGGGAUGCUUUACACAUGCAAGUCGAACGGCAGCACGGACUUCGGUCUGGUGGCGAGUGGCGAACGGGUGAGUAAUGUAUCGGAACGUGCCUAGUAGCGGGGGAUAACUACGCGAAAGCGUAGCUAAUACCGCAUACGCCCUUCGGGGAAAGCGGGGACCUUCGGGCCUCGCACUAUUAGAGCAGCCGAUAUCGGAUUAGCUAGUUGGUGGGGUAACGGCUCACCAAGGCGACGAUCCGUAGCUGGUUUUGAGAGGACGACCAGCCACACUGGGACAGAGACCACGGCCCAGACUCCUACGGGAGGCAGCAGUGGGGAAUUUUGGACAAUGGGGAAACCUGAUCCAUGCAUCCCGCGUGUGCGAUGAAGGCCUUCGGAUUGUAAAGCACUUUUGGCAGGAAAGAAACGGCACGGGAUAUGCCAACUGACCAGUACCUGCAGAAUAAGCACCGGCUAACUACGUGCCAGCAGCCGCGGUAAUACGUAGGGUGCAAGCGUUAAUCGGAAUUACUGGGCGUAAAGCGUGCGCAGGCGGUUCGGAAAGAAGAUGUGAAAUCCCAGAGCUUAACUGGAACUACGUUUUUAACUACCGAGCUAGAGUGUGUCAGAGGAGGUGGAAUUCCGCGUGUAGCAGUGAAAUGCGUAGAUAUGCGGAGGAACACCGAUGGCGAAGGCAGCCUCCUGGGAUAACACUGACGCUCAUGCACAGCGUGGGGAGCAAACAGGAUUAGAUACCCUGGUAGUCCACGCCCUAAACGAUGUCAACUAGCUGUUGGGGCCUUCGGGCCUUGGUAGCGCAGCUAACGCGUGAAGUUGACCGCCUGGGAAGUACGGUCGCAAGAUUAAAACUCAAAGGAAUUGACGGGGACCCGCACAAGCGGUGGAUGAUGUGGAUUAAUUCGAUGCAACGCGAAAAACCUUACCUACCCUUGACAUGUCUGGAAUCCCGAAGAGAUUUGGGAGUGCUCGCAAGAGAACCGGAACACAGGUGCUGCAUGGCUGUCGUCGGCUCGUGUCGUGAGAUGUUGGGUUAGGUCACAACGAGCAGCCUUGUCAUUAGUUGCUACGAAGGGCACUCUAAUGAGACUGCCGGUGACAAACCGGAGGAAGGUGGGGAUGACGUCAAGUCUCCAUGGCCCUUAUGGGUAGGGCUUCACACGUCAUACAAUGGUCGGGACGAGGUCGCCAACCCGAGAGAGCCAAUCCCAGAAACCCGAUCGUAGUCCGGAUCGUAGUCUGCAACUCGACUGCGUGAAGUCGGAAUCUUCGUAAUCGCGGAUCAGCAUGUCGCGGUGAAUACGUUCCCGGGUCUUGUACACACCGCCCGUCACACCAUGGGAGUGGGUUUUACCAGAAGUAGUUAGCCUAACCGUAAGGAGGGCGAUUACCACGGUAGGAUUUCAUGACUGGGGUGAAGUCGUAACAAGAGUAA
rnacentral:rRNA from 1 species